rnacentral:rRNA from 1 species
GACAGAGGGUGCAAACGUUGUUCGGAAUCACUGGGCGUAAAGCGCGUGUAGGCUGCUGCGCAAGUCGGAUGUGAAAUCCCACGGCUCAACCAUGGAAGUGCAUUCGAAACUGCGUAGCUAGAGUUUUGGAGAGGAAGGCGGAAUACUCGGUGUAGAGGUGAAAUUCGUAGAUAUCGAGUGGAACACCGGUGGCGAAGGCGGCCUUCUGGACAAUGACUGACGCUGAAACGCGAAAGCGUGGGGAGCAAACAGG